AUACGGAGGGUGCAAGCGUUAUUCGGAAUUACUGGGCGUAAAGGGCGUGCAGGCGGGAGGGCAAGUCUGAUGUGAAAGCCCGGGGCUUAACCCCGGAAGGGCAUUGGAAACUGCUUUUCUUGAGUUCUGGAGAGGAAGGGAGAAUUCCCGGUGUAGAGGUGAAAUUCGUAGAGAUCGGGAGGAACAUCAGUGGCGAAGGCGCCCUUCUGGACAGCAACUGACGCUGAGACGCGAAAGCGUGGGGAGC
rnacentral:rRNA from 1 species